ACCUGGCUGGCUCAGUUGGUAUAGCAUGUGACUCUUGCUCUCAGGGUUGUGAGUUUGAGUCUAAUGCUGGGUG
rnacentral:tRNA from 1 species